GACGAACGCUGGCGGUGUGCUUAACACAUGCAAGUCGAGCGAGAACCUGGGGAGGGGUAACCCACCCCAGGGGAGAGCGGCGAACGGGUGAGUAACACGUGAGAAACCUGCCCCGGAGACCGGGAUAAGCCCUCGAAAGGGGGUCUAAUACCGGAUGUCCCCAUCGGACCGCAGGACCUGAUGGGGAAAUGGAUUCCGCUCCGGGAGGGUCUCGCGGCCUAUCAGCUUGUUGGUGAGGUAACGGCUCACCAAGGCUUCGACGGGUAGCUGGUCUGAGAGGACGAUCAGCCACACUGGGACUGAGACACGGCCCAGACUCCUACGGGAGGCAGCAGUGGGGAAUCUUGCGCAAUGGGCGAAAGCCUGACGCAGCAACGCCGCGUGGGGGAUGAAGGCUCUCGGGUUGUAAACCCCUUUCAGCAGGGACGAUUAUGACGGUACCUGCAGAAGAAGGACCGGCCAACUACGUGCCAGCAGCCGCGGUAAGAC
rnacentral:rRNA from 1 species